rnacentral:rRNA from 1 species
AGGGGAGUCUGGAAUUCCUGGUGUAGCGGUGAAAUGAGGAGAUAUCAGGCGGAACACCGGUGGAGAAGGGGGGACUUUGGGGUGUUACUGACGCUGAGGAGCGAAAGCAUGGGGAGCGAACAGGAUUAGAUACCCUGGUAGUCCAUGCCGUAAACGUUGGGCACUAGGUGUGGGGUCCAUUCCACGGAUUCUGCGCCGUAGCUAACGCAUUAAGUGCCCCGCCUGGGGAGUACGGCCGCAAGGCUAAAACUCAAAGGAAUUGACGGGGGCCCGCACAAGCGGCGGAGCAUGCGGAUUAAUUCGAUGCAACGCGAAGAACCUUACCAAGGCUUGACAUGCACUAGACCAUCGCAGAGAUGUGGUUUUCUUUUUGACUGGUGUACAGGUGGUGCAUGGUUGUCGUCAGCUCGUGUCGUGAGAUGUUGGGUUAAGUCCCGCAACGCGCGCAACCCUCGUUCUAUGUUGCCAGCACGUGAUGGUGGGAACUCAUGGGAGACUGCCGGGGUCAACUCGGAGGAAGGUGGGGAUGACGUCAAAUCAUCAUGCCCUUUAUGUCUUGGGCUUCACGCAUGCUACAAUGGCCGGUACAGAGGGUGGCGAUACCGUGAGGUGGAGCGAAUCUCUUAAAGCCGGUCUCAGUUCGGAUCGUAGUCUGCAACUCGACUACGUGAAGUCGGAGUCGCUAGUAAUCGCAGAUCAGCAAUGCUGCGGUGAAUACGUU